rnacentral:ncRNA from 1 species
UUGAGCCGUAUUAGGUGAAAGUCUCACGUACGGUUCUUAGGGGAGAAAGGAGAGCAAUCUCCCUGACUUACCAGAC